CUGACCUCAAAUCAGGUAGGACUACCCGCUGAACUUAAGCAUAUCAAUAAGCGGAGGAAAAGAAACUAACAAGGAUUCCCCUAGUAACUGCGAGUGAAGCGGGAAAAGCUCAAAUUUAAAAUCUGGCGGUCUUUGGCCGUCCGAGUUGUAGUCUGGAGAAGUGCUUUCCGCG
rnacentral:rRNA from 1 species